rnacentral:misc_RNA from 1 species
GAUGAAGAUCGCAGCGAAAUGCGAUACGUAAUGUGAAUUGCAGAAUUCAGUGAAUCAUCGAAUCUUUGAACGCAUAUUGCGCUCUCUGGUAUUCCGGAGAGCAUGCUUGUUUGAGUAUCAGUAAACACCUCAACUCCCUUUUCUUUUUUGAAAUUGGAGCUGGACUUGAGUGAUCCCAACGCUUUCUUCCAAGAAAGUGGCGGGUUGCUUGAAAUGCAGGUGCAGCUGAACUUUUCUCUGAGCUAUAAGCAUAUCUAUUUAGUCUGCCUAAAAAACAGAUUAUUACCUUUGCUGCAGCUAACAUAAAGGAGACUAGUUCUUGUGCUGACUGAUGCAGGAUUCACAGAGACAGCUUCGGCUGACUUUGUAAACUCGAUCUCAAAUCAAGUAAGACUACCCGCUGAACUUAAGCAUAUCAAUAAGCGGAGGA